UACGGGGGGGGCAAGGCGUUGUUCGGAAUUACUGGGCGUAAAGGGCCAGUAGGCGGCCAACUAAGUCCGACGGUGAAAUCCCCAGGCUUAACCUGGGAACUGCGUCCGGAUACUGGAUGGCUUGAAUUCGGGAGAGGGAUGACAGAAUUCCAGGUGUACGCGGUGAAAAUGCGUAGAUAUCUGGAGGAAUACCGGUGGCGAAGGCGGGCAUCCUGGAGCCGACAUUGACGCUGAACGGCGAAAGCUAGGGGAGCAAACGGG
rnacentral:rRNA from 1 species